AGUAAUGUCUGGGAAACUGCCUGAUGGAGGGGGAUAACUACUGGAAACGGUAGCUAAUACCGCAUAACGUCGCAAGACCAAAGUGGGGGACCGUUCGGGCCUCAUGCCAUCAGAUGUGCCCAGAUGGGAUUAGCUAGUAGGUGGGGUAACGGCUCACCUAGGCGACGAUCCCUAGCUGGUCUGAGAGGAUGACCAGCCACAUGGAACUGAGACACGGUCCAG
rnacentral:rRNA from 1 species